AACGUAGGACGCAAGCGUUAUCCGGAGUUACUGGGCGUAAAGGGCGUGUAGGCGGCUGGGUAAGUCCGUCGUGAAAGCCCCCGGCUAAACUGGGGGAGGACGAGGGAGACUGCCGGGCUAGAGGCGGGUAGAGGGGUAUAGAAUUCCGGGUGUAGUGGUGAAAUGCGUAGAGAUCCGGAGGAAUACCAGAGGCGAAGGCGAUGCCCUGGGCCCGUACUGACGCUGAGACGCGACAGCAUGGGGAGCGAACGGG
rnacentral:rRNA from 1 species